rnacentral:rRNA from 1 species
GAUGAACGCUGGCGGCGUGCCUAAUACAUGCAAGUCGAGCGAACGGACGAGAAGCUUGCUUCUCUGAUGUUAGCGGCGGACGGGUGAGUAACACGUGGAUAACCUACCUAUAAGACUGGGAUAACUUCGGGAAACCGGAGCUAAUACCGGAUGAUAUUUUGAACCGCAUGGUUCAAAGGUGAAAGACGGUCUUGCUGUCACUUAUAGAUGGAUCCGCGCUGCAUUAGCUAGUUGGUAAGGUAACGGCUUACCAAGGCAACGAUGCAUAGCCGACCUGAGAGGGGGAUCGGCCACACUGGAACUGAGACACGGUCCAGACUCCUACGGGAGGCAGCAGUAGGGAAUCUUCCGAAAUGGGCGAAAGCCUGACGGAGCAACGCCGCGUGAGUGAUGAAGGUCUUCGGAUCGUAAAACUCUGUUAUUAGGGAAGAACAUAUGUGUAAGUAACUGUGCACAUCUUGACGGUACCUAAUCAGAAAGCCACGGCUAACUACGUG